UUAUGGCCAUAUCAUGUUGAAACACAGGUUCUCAUUUGAUCACCGAAAUCAAGCAACAUUGAUCCUGGUCAGUACCUAGAUGGGUGACUGCUUGGGAAUACCAGGUACUGUAAG